rnacentral:lncRNA from 1 species
GCUGGAGGGAAUGUCAACCCUGCAGUGGGAGCCCAUCACGCAUCCUAGGCACAGAUGCUAAUGUAGGCACCGCGGAAGCACUGCUGACUGUUUGGUGGUUGCUGUUGGGGCAGUGAGCCUUUUGUCCAUUCUGAGAUUGGGCUGGUUUCUCCUCUUGGCCCUGCCCUACAGACCAUAAAGGAAAACAGCAAGAGGUCCGCAGCAAACAUCUACAGAUGGCCCUGGACAUCAGCCACAUUCUGAGAAACAUGUCAUGUUCUGGGAGGGCUAAGGCAUCAAGCUCACCCUGCAGGAAUCCCAGUGAAUAUAUUGCCACCAUCUUGGAGCUCAGUGCCCUCUUAGUGUAAUGGCACCAGCAGAUCUGCCUGUGCACGGACUUCCUGUACUACCUCACUCCUGAGGGGAGAUGCUUCUGCAGGGCCUAUGACCUGGUGCACAACUUUAGACACCAUCAUCCUGGAGCAGCACCUCACCCUCACUUGCCGGGGUGUUGAUGACUUCCUCAAGGCUAAGGCCACAUUCAAGAUUUUGGACUUCAGUGAUGCAUUUUUGCUGAGCAAGGGCCUCAGUGCAAGGGCGCUGUCCAACCUCUGGUGCUGAAGCAGCCGAGAGACCCAAGCCUGCCACUCAGGAUAUGACAGCACAGCCAGUGGCCUCUACUGGAUCCUGUACAACCUCAGAAGACACCUAGACACUGGGAGUGCUGCCACCACGUGGUGCAAGAGUUCUGAGGGACCGCAAUUCUGAAGACAUUGAAUGGUGGGUGCCAGGCCUCGUGGCUGUUCCCCAGCCCCUCUCAUAGGCUCUGCUCCAGCUGGUGAAGGGGGAUGACGUCUCUGUCAAUUCUGCCAUGAUUGCCUAGCAGGAAAAGGAGCAGAGCCCAGAAGCAGGGCCUGGUACCCAGCCUGCCUAACAAGGGAGAAUUUGUAGGCUUUGUGGACAGAAAGAUCUGGGAGUCCAUAUCACCCACUAACUUGCUGAGACAUUAGUAAAAUCAGUUUUCUUUUC